rnacentral:lncRNA from 1 species
UGCAGUUAUUGUGGGUUGAUAUUUCUUUUACAUUCACUUUUGUGUGCUUAGAUGUACUAUGCAUGAUAUAUGGAUACUUGAGGCGUCAGUGCUUGCAGAUAUGGUGUUUUGAAGAUUUUGGUAUCCCACCUCAUUCUUAAAAUGAAAAAAUUGAGCAAUAUUCUGCUUUCAUAGCAGAAAACAUGGCAAAAGUUACCAGGAGCUCCAUACCCUCAAGCUACAGGACAUAACUGAUGUUAGUUCUAACAGUAGUAUUUUCCAUUUGAUAUAGCAUGAGCGCAUAUUAUUUUUCACUUGUUUGUUAGCACCACUUUAACACUACAUUCUCAAUAUGAACAUCCUUCUUUUGGAAACUUGUUUUGGCAAAAAUAGUUAAGACUCCAGAGGAAAAUGGUAACAGUGUUUGAGAAGAUAUUUUGAUUCAUCUUUAUGAGCUGACUAGAGACUAGGGGUGUUCCAGUUGCUCCCCCACCACCAGCCAUCUCCAGCUGGGUGCAGAAUGACAGCAUAUUCAGCUGCAGAGAGAAGGUGCUCCCACAGGCACCAAGUUUAAAGACGAAUUGUUCCUGCUCCGUCCCACUUUGACUCCAGUCGAUAGCAACAUCUCAUUCAAAAUCAGCAGCGCUGCAGAAAGUGAAGUGAGCAAUGCAGCAGAGGUGCUCCGCUCUGCAAGUGGCCCCCUUCCAAGUGACGCCAGCGGGCAGGGAAGGGACGCGACUGGCCACAUGCUGCAGUGUCGGCUGGCUUGCUGUACUCCGUAAGUACCAGGGCAGUGUCACAACUUUUACCCAAAGGAGUCCUGUUUUGCUUGUUGGGUUUCUUUCUGUUUAGCUUUCAUGAAACUACUAUCUUCUAAGCGAAGUCUAG